rnacentral:rRNA from 1 species
GACGAACGCUGGCGGCGUGCUUAACACAUGCAAGUCGAACGGCAAGGCCCUGCUUUUGUGGGGUGCUCGAGUGGCGAACGGGUGAGUAACACGUGAGUAACCUGCCCUUGACUUUGGGAUAACUUCAGGAAACUGGGGCUAAUACCGGAUAGGAGCUCCUGCUGCAUGGUGGGGGUUGGAAAGUUUCGGCGGUUGGGGAUGGACUCGCGGCUUAUCAGCUUGUUGGUGGGGUAGUGGCAUACCAAGGCCUUGACGGGUAGCCGGCCUGAGAGGGUGACCGGCCACCAUGGGACUGCGAGACGGCCCAGACUGCUACGGUAGGCAGCAGGGGGGAAUAUUGCACAACGGGCGGAAGCCUGAUGCAGCAACGCCGCGUUCGUGAUGACGGCCUGCGGGUUGUAAACCGCUUUCGCCUGUGACGAAGCGUGAGUGACGGUAAUGGGUAAAGAAGCACCGGCUAACUACGUG